AGAAUCAACGCUGGCGGCGUGCCUAACACAUGCAAGUCGAACGAGAAAGGGGAGCAAUCCCUGAGUAAAGUGGCGCACGGGUGAGUAACACGUGACUAACCUACCCUGGAGUGGGGGAUAACUGAGGGAAAACCUUAGCUAAUACCGCAUAAUACCUACGGGUCAAAGGAGCAAUUCGCUUCAGGAGGGGGUCGCGGCCGAUUAGUUAGUUGGCGGGGUAAUGGCCCACCAAGACGAUGAUCGGUAU
rnacentral:rRNA from 1 species